UACCUCCCAGGAUCACGUCUGGAGAAUGGCUAGUAUUCCCAGCCUCGGAAAUGGGAGGGGAAAGCAAGCCUGGCAGAGAUGCCCAUUCCAUUCCCAGUUUGCUCAGUAGAUGGCGACUGGAAGAUACUCUGCCACAGUU
rnacentral:snoRNA from 1 species